AUCCAGCUGACGAGUCGCGAAUAGGACAACACGCGCGUUAUGGAU
rfam:Schistosoma haematobium scaffold352_15, whole genome shotgun sequence.